CAGGCUUCCAGCGGAGCAGGGAGCCCGAUGUGGGGCUUGAUCCCAGGACCCUGGGAUCAUGACCUGAGCCAAAGGCAGACGCUUAGACUGAGCCACUCAGGCACCCCGGUUUUCGUCCUUUUAAAAUAUUUUCGUUUUGGGUUGGAACAUCAGCUUCAGAAACUAAGAGACUAGAACACCUAAUGGAAAUUGCAUUUACUUGCCAAUGAUUCUAUCAGAAAGGAUCUACUGCAAAGAGAAGCUUUACCUUAAUUUUAUAUAUUGCAUUAUACAUGAAAGUAUAUAAUAUUUUAUUUUUAUGUUGUAUUACAUUAUUAUAUAUUGUAAAUAUUAUAUAUAAUAAAAUAUUCAAAAUGCUAACUCAAAGAUUAUAUUAUUAAAAACCAUAUAUUGUCUUUUUUUUUAUAAAGAUUUUAUUUAUUUGACAGAGAGAGAUAGCGAGAGCAGAAACACAAGCAGGGGGAAUGGAAGAAGAAGCAGGCUUCCUGCCAAGCAGGGAGCCCGAUGUGGGGCUCGACCCCAGGACCCCAGGAUCAUGACCUGAGCCAAAGGCAGAUGCUUAAUGACUGAGCCACCCAGGUGCCCCAAAUUCCGUAUAUUGUCUUAAAUUGAAUUACCUUUGAUACAUACAAACAAUUUAAAACAUAGCUUCAGCUAUUAAAAAAAAAAAAAAGACAAAAUCAGGGCACCUGGAUGGCUCAGUCCAUUAAGUGUCUGACUCUAGAUUUUGGCCUGGGGCCUGAUCUCAGGGUCCUGAGAUCCAGCCCCGCCUCAGCUCCUUGCUCAGCCCCAAAUCUGCUUCAGAUUCUCUCUCUCCCGCUCCCUCUGCCCCUCCCCCUGCUUUCUCUCUCUUUCUCUCUCUCUCUCUAAAGUAAAUAAAUAAGGGGCACCUGAGUGGCUUACUCGGUUAAGCAUCUGCCUUUGGCUCAGGUCAUGAUCUCGGGGUUCUGAGGUCGAGUCCCACAUCGAGCUCUCUGUUCAGUGGAGAGCCUGCUUCUCCCUCUCCCGCUCCCCCUGCUUGUGUGCUCUCUCUUUCUGUCUGCCAAAUAAACAAACAAAUAAAUCUUUAAAAAGAAAAGGGGGGGGCGCCUUGAUGGUUCAGUUGGUUAAGCAUCUGCCCUUGGCUCAGGUCAUGAUCCCAGGGUCCUGGGAUGGAGCCCUGCAUCACAUUGGGCUCCUUGCUCAGCGGGGAGCCUGCUUCUCCCUCUGCCUGCUGCUCCCCCUGCUUGUGUUCUCUCUCUCUCUGUCAAAUAAAUAAAUAAAAUCUUUUAAAAAUAAAAAAAUUUUAAAAAUUUUAAAAAUAAAAAAGAGUAAAUAAAUAAUCUUAGAAAAAAAGACAAAAAAAUCUCUUGUCUCAAGGUCUGUGUGUUUUUCUGUUUAAUCUCACGUGGAGAAGAAAGGAAGGAAGGAAGGAAGGAAGGAAGGAAGAAAGAAAGAAAGAAAGAAAGAAAGAAAGAAAGAAAGAAAGAAAGAAAGAAAGAAAGAAGGAAAGAGAAAGAAGAAAAAGAAAGAAAGAAAGAAAAGAAAGAAAGAAAGAAAGAAAGAGAAAGAAGAAAAAGAAAGAAAGAAAGAAAGAAAAGAAAGAAAGAAAGAAAGAAAGAAAGAAAGAAAGAAAGAAAGAAAGAAAGAAAGAAAGAAAAGAAAAGAAAAUGAAGUAACUCUUAAAAUGUGGCCCCAAAUUACAAAACUAACUGAAAAGAAUUUUGGUCAUUGCAAAAGACUUAUGUUUCUGGGAAUCUAUUACAAAAUAAGAAGACUACGUACACUUAAAAUAUAAUAGAGAGAGCGUGAGCACAAGCAGGGUGAACGGCAGGCAAGGCAGAGGGAGAAGCAGGCUCCCCGCUGAGCAGGGAGCCCGACGUGGGACUCGAUCCCAGGACCCCGGGAUCACGAGCUGAGCUGAAGGCAGAUGCUUAACCAACUGAGCCACCCAGACUGACUGCUGAAGAUAACAAAUCCCCUGGAAAUGAUGAAGCCAAAAUAUGAAGGAGUCUCAGUCUCUGAAAUCACUGCAUGGCAGGAAGCUGUCUGCCAGAAAUACCUGCAUUGUUUAGCAAGGAAAGGGCUCCUCGCUGUGGGGCAACAGCAUGGAAGUAGGUCAUUGAAAGUAAGGAACAGCAGAGCAUGACAUGGAAAUGCCACAUCUGUACCUAGGCUUGGCCUCCAUCUGUGUCAGCAUCUCCCUCCAGGCCUGGGACAUCACCGAACCAGCUGGUGGCCUUGGGCUCUGAUGAUUUCUCUUUCCUUGGACCUUGACUGUCUCACUCUAUCACACUCUGUAUCAACAUAUUCCUUUAGUGCUUCAUGAAGGCAGAUGACAGAACUCCGACCAGACCAUAGGAGAAAUCAGGUGGACGUGGAAACUAGAGAAACACAGUAGAGGGAUGUGUGAUCACUGCAACAAAAGAUAAUUAAAUCCUGGUUGACAAAAAGAAGAGGGUCAAGGACAGAGCCAAUAUUUAAGGAGCAAACAAAGGAAAGGAAAUCUAUCUGUAAAGAGACCAGGAAUGAUCAGAGAGAUGGGAGGUUAAUCUGGAGAGAGUUGGCUCCUAGAAGCAAAGGAAGAAAGGAAAGAAAGGGGGAAAGAAAGGAAGAAAGUGUUUUAAUAAGUGGGAAGGGGGGCAGGUCAAAUGUGUCCAUCUAAGAUGAGGUAUGUUUAUCGGAUGAGGAGACCUCAUCAAUAUUCUUCCACUCUACUUGGGGAGCUGUGGCAGCCAGGCCUUUCCUUUGCAGGUGGCAGAUUAAAAGAGUCAUCCCUGCUAAAUCUGGACAAUUUAAAGGAAAACUUUGAACGCACUGACAAUGGAGGUUCCCCAAGGAAAUAGCUCAACCAGAUCCUACCCUGAGAUAUUCAGAAUGGAUUAGACCUAUCUAGAAGCUCAGCGCUUCCAAUCCACUUUUGUUAGCCUGUUUGUUUUAAAAUCAACUUUAUCAAUGUAUAAUUUGCAUAAAUAAAUGCCCUCAUUUAAAGUGUAUGGUUCAGGGGCACCUGGGUGGCUCAGUCGGUUAAGCAUCUGCCUUUGGCUCGGAUCAUGGUCUCGGGGUCCUGGGAUUGAGUCCUGCCUGGGGCUCCCUGCUCAGCGGAGAGCCUGCUUCUCCCUCUACCCUUCCCCCCU